rnacentral:rRNA from 1 species
CGUGGCGGACGGGUGAGUAACGCGUGGGUAACCUGCCUCAUACAGGGGGAUAACAGUUAGAAAUGACUGCUAAUACCGCAUAAGCGCACGAGAUCGCAUGAUAAAGUGUGAAAAACUCCGGUGGUAUGAGAUGGACCCGCGUCUGAUUAGCUGGUUGGUGGGGUAACGGCCCACCAAGGCGACGAUCAGUAGCCGACCUGAGAGGGUGACCGGCCACAUUGGGACUGAGACACGGCCCAAACUCCUACGGGAGGCAGCAG